rnacentral:rRNA from 1 species
AUACCGGAUGUGCCCUUGGCCAAGGCUAGUUGCUGAAGAUGACUCGCGUCUGAUUAGCUAGUUGGGUGAGUAAGAGCCUACCUAGGCGACGAUCAGUAGCUGGUCUGAGAGGAUGAUCAGCCACACUGGGACUGAGACACGGCCCAGACUCCUACGGGAGGCAGCAGUGGGGAAUUUUCCGCAAUGGGCGAAAGCCUGACGGAGCAAUACCGCGUGAGGGAGGAAGGCUCUUGGGUUGUAAACCUCUUUUCUCAAGGAAUAAAAUCUCGAGGGAACUGGAGGAAUAACAUCCGGUAACUUCCUGCCCACCGCCGGCGGUAUUCCGGAGGAAGUUAGCCCUUUUCCGAAAGAAUUGGGCGUUAAGCCUCCCCCAGGGGGCUUUGUAAGUCUGC